AAAGGCGCUUUCGGGUGUCGCUGAUGGAUGGACCCGCGGUGCAUUAGCUAGUUGGUGAGGUAACGGCUCACCAAGGCCACGAUGCAUAGCCGACCUGAGAGGGUGAUCGGCCACAUUGGGACUGAGACACGGCCCAAACUCCUACGGGAGGCAGCAGUAGGGAAUCUUCGGCAAUGGACGAAAGUCUGACCGAGCAACGCCGCGUGAGUGAAGAAGGUUUUCGGAUCGUAAAACUCUGUUGUUAGAGAAGAACAAGGAUGAGAGUAACUGUUCAUCCCUUGACGGUAUCUAACCAGAAAGCCACGGCUAACUACGUGCCAGCAGCCGCGGUAAUACGUAGGUGGCAAGCGUUGUCCGGAUUUAUUGGGCGUAAAGCGAGCGCAGGCGGUUUCUUAAGUCUGAUGUGAAAGCCCCCGGCUCAACCGGGGAGGGUCAUUGGAAACUGGGAGACUUGAGUGCAGAAGAGGAGAGUGGAAUUCCAUGUGUAGCGGUGAAAUGCGUAGAUAUAUGGA
rnacentral:rRNA from 1 species